CUGUGAGGAAAUGUCGGGGUUGGGGAGAAGUAAUCUCGUACCAAGUUUUCAUGGCCCGUCUUACGAUCACGAUCGAUGUAAACACGACCGGGAAUAGAACCUCGAUGUGUCUUCGCUUUGCCUUUUCUCUCUGAAAUUUCUCCUUCCAUGGUUAAACAAUUUUCAUGCAGAACCUCUUGUUCAGCAGAGUCAAGUAAGAGAUGUUGAUGCCUUCUUCGAAAAAAUUGAAACAUUUGUGAUGUUAGAAGUAGGAGAAGAAUGCUAAAUUGAAAUGAUCGUUACACUUUUUGAUUUCUAGCAACAUCUAUUUUUAAAUUAAAAUAAUAGCAUUUUUUAAAUUCAAACAACGUUUUUUUAAAUAAAAACUAGUUACAACGGUCAAAACAUGUUUUAAUUGUUGGAACUUUCAAAUUUUAAAUUUUAAAUUUCAAAUUUUAAUAUUUAAGGAAUCAAUAUAAGGAAUUUGUUGGGUACACAGUGAAAAAAUUGAAUCCCUAUCUUGCAGAAUGACCCAAUAGUAUUGCAAGAUAGGGAUAGAGAUAAGGAAACUGUUGUAAAUGCUCUUAGUGGAUUGGAUCAAUGCUAUGCGCAGUACUGCAUAAAUUCUUGGGUUUUACUGAAAGGCACUACAACAAUACUGCAUACCAUUCCUCAGUUGCUGAGAUUCCCUUUGAAGUGAUGUUUGGCAAAGCACCUGGCCCUUUCUAUUGCCACUUACAUUCCAGAUACUACACAAUUAGAAGUUUUGGAUGUUUCCCUCCAAGAAAGAGAUACCAAACUGCAAAUCCUCAAAAGGACAUUGAACAUCACCCAAAUAAUAAAACCCUAACUUCAAUGUGUUUCUAUAGCUGAAAAGUUAACCACCAAGAGUUUGAGACAUAUAAAAUGAAUUGAAUAAAGAUUCAAAAAAAAACUCUGAACCGAGAAAAACACUAAAAGGCAUAACUCCUUAAAAUGUAUAGAAAAACAGCAAAUUAGUAAAUGAAAUUAAGUAUGUAGAACCUAAAAAACAAUGAAAAAUUACAACGGUUAUGUAAGAAAUUGGCAAAGUCUAACCCAAAAAUGGAUUACCUUGGCUACGUCAAGGGGGUUAACGAGUAUGGCAGAGAGAAAGGCGGCACCAGCAGCAGAAAAUGCUCUCUCCGGGACCCCUAAUUUUCCAGCAGACGUGGGAGGCGGAGAAUCAAAAUGAGAACGAGAAGCGACAAUUCCCUCUGACACCACCAUUGAUUCUGACAUUAGCGACACGCAGCGGCCGUCAAAUUCAACUCUCGAAGGUUGCUCUUCUGACUCCUCUCUGGUCAUCCACGAAUUUUGCAUUUGCUUUGAUUCUACUUCUACCAUAUUCUUUUGUUAUACCUCUCUUUCAGCCCAAAAUUUGAUCACCCUAAAAUUGCGCGUUUCCGAAUGUUAGCUUUGUUGCAUUCUCAAAUAAAAAAUCAUCAAAUAGACGAAAUUUUCAACAAAAAAUUUAAAAUUUUCCUCAAAUCGUAAAAUAGAGGGAUGAAGAAGAGUCUCUCUAAAUUAAUUUAGGGCUGAGGACUGCGGUUGGGAGACUAAAAAAAG
rnacentral:lncRNA from 1 species